UUAUUUUGAAUCUUUUUUUGGAAUUUUCUUUUUAGACUUUUAAUUUUACUUUUUAGUUUCUCUUUGAUAUGAUUAAUAUAGUUAAAAAAAAGAAAAAAAAAGAGAAAAUGAAAAAAAAACAAAGGAAAUUAAAAAAAAGAAAAAAGUGGCUUUGUCGUUUGUGAAAAAGGGUACAACGUUGGCUUGACGAGGGUAUGAUGCAAAUUUGGGUGGCAGAGCAGUGCGAAUUGGCAUUCGGCAAGGGAAAUUUGUAGAGGAAAAAAAAGCAAAGCAAUAACAACAAGAACAAAAAGAUGAGAACCUAAGGGAGUGAUACGCGGGGCCCAAGCCCAUCAAAGAAUCAAAGACCAAUUACUAGAAGAAUAAAGGUUACUAAGCGCACCUCCCCUUGUGCUAAAUACACCAUGGCAGUUUUCUUCACAUUUAGCACAUGUAUUGAGUGCAUUUCCGUGUAGCUUCUAGAUUCAACAACUUUCAGCACAUUUUGCACAUGUUACCACGUGUAUGAUGAUUCAUGAAUGAUGGUAGCCUGGAGCAGCGUCUAGAUCUAAGGAGAUAGGCUAUAAAUAUCCUCUUCCAUCUUCAUGUAAAACACUUUUGGAAAUUGAGAGAUUAUUUGCUGAUGAAUCUUCCAGCUUUUCUCCACCGAAAGUCCUUCAACUUGUGCUUCUUUCCCUUCUCCUCUAGCUUCCUUCCUAGAGAGGGCUUUCUGAGCUAGAUCCCCUGGCCACCAAAAGCACUUCAUUCAUCAACUUCAAUCAUAAUCCAUAUCUUCCGCUGCUGCUACCACAAGUCCAGUAACCACUCUACUGCUGCCACACACUCGGUUUUCUCCUCAGUGCAUUCUCCACCGUCACUGUUCCAUUGCUUGAGCUCACGGAUCUGAAAUAUCUCCCAAGGCUGGAGGUAUCAAGGAGGAGGAGGACUACGAAAAAAAUUCUCAUCACGGAAUCAAGAGUAUUCAUUCCUUGGGGAGGCAUCUUCUUUGCACGGGCAAGAACAAACAGAGACCAACCAGCCAAAGGGGAGAGAGUGAACAUAGAGAUACAAGAUACAAAGGUGAUUCAGAUACAAAACCAUAUACACAAUUGCAAAAAGAAAAAACGCUCUCCUCACUGAUGAGUGGUUAUUUCUUGAACUAUAUUUAGUUUAUUGCACUUAAAUAAACCAAGGAAUUCUGUUUAAUUGUCUGUUAUUUCCCCGUUUUCCGAAUUCUGCUUAAUUUGGUCGGAAAUUUGUAAUUGUGCUAAUUUGGGUUUUCUCAGCUGAUUAAGUGUAUUUUGGUUGCAGGGAAAUUUUGGGAAACAGAAAUUGGAGCAUUAGGGAUGGUGGCAUAAUUAUUCAAGACUCAACAUUUAGCCAUUUCCAUUUUUAUAAAGUUGUAAUUUCGUUUUUUUUAGAAACCUUAAUUAGAUUAAGUGCAUUUGGGCCCUUUUGUGGCAAAUUUUUUAGAAGCCCAAUAUGUGGGACACUUGGCACCAAAACCCUAGGUUUUUAGGAGGUGGACCCCACCUAUUUUGUGAAGUUGGACGGUAUUUCCUAGGGCAAUUGCCGAACACACACAUAACUCACUCAUUCCACACUUUUGCUUUAGCUUUGCCUUGUAUGAACUCUCUCUUAGAGCCUUGGUGUGCCAUUUUCGGUUUUCUACCAUGAAUGAACAAGAACAUGUUUUUCUUCUUCUAUUGCUUGCAACAAUGCUUGUUCUUGUUUGAUGGAAUGAAGCUCUACCAUUUCUCUCUUUAGAUUUUCGUUUUGAAGGU
rnacentral:lncRNA from 1 species